rnacentral:piRNA from 1 species
UGGGAGGGCCUACUUUUGGGGUGACAUCCCU